rnacentral:misc_RNA from 1 species
GUUGUUGCCUCUUCUUUCACCUAUUAGACCUGCAAUUGUCAGGAGACAAGUGUAUUUCCCUGACAGGCGAUUGAUACAAUUUGACUGUGGUAAGUUGCAAGAACUUGCAGUUUUGCUUCGGCAGUUGAAAUCAGAAGGUCACCGAGCAUUGAUAUUCACCCAGAUGACCAAAAUGCUUGAUAUAUUGGAGGCUUUCAUAAAUUUGUAUGGUUACACUUACAUGCGUUUAGAUGGAUCCACUCAACCAGAGGAGAGACAAACAUUAAUGCAGCGAUUCAACACAAAUCCCAAGAUUUUUCUCUUCAUUUUGUCAACCCGUAGUGGGGGUGUUGGCAUCAAUCUUUUUGGAGCUGAUACGGUUAUCUUUUAUGAUAGUGACUGGAAUCCAGCAAUGGAUCAACAAGCUCAAGAUCGCUGCCAUCGAAUAGGACAGACACGUGAAGUACAUAUCUACAGGUUAAUCAGCGAGAGCACUAUUGAGGAGAACAUCUUAAAGAAAGC